UAGGGGGGUAGGAGUGCCCCUCUGUUAACAGCACUUUUCGGGCUGCGACUGUGCCUUGAGCCAGCCUUUGUUUCCAGCGUGUCUUUGCAAUUUAUCAAUUGUGGCUACUUACUAAGAACUUGCAGGCAUUUCUGGAAACCUCGCAUCUGUUUUUUGACUCAUUCACGUGGUAAUUAAAUCAUCUUGUGCUGGCUUUGGGGCUUUACAGAAACCUGAAGUGUUGGGAGCUGCUUGUGCAUCAGAAUUAGUACUGGGCAAGGCUUCUUACCAUCCGGAUUCUCUCUGUUGGAGAAAACCACAGCUAGAAGCUGGGAGGUGAGCUUCCUGGCAGCUUUGGCAAACUAGCUGCCUCUGGGGAGAUGCAGGUGAUGGAGAUGAAGGCGGUUUGUGCAGGAGGCCACCUGCCAUCCUGCUGAAGCUGCUAUCGGAGCCUGGAGCUGCAGCUGAUGGACGCAGGCUGGAGCAGGAAGCACGGCUGGGUACACCCAGGGGAGAGGCUUCUGUCUGUGGAACGGAAGGGGAGACACUGAGGCGAGGACACCUGCCAGAAGAGACGUAGAAGACCACCACCUUGUCCCUUUCUUCUUGCCUUCAGUGGAGAAGUGGUGCCUGGAACACAUGCAGCUGUCUUGCAACCUUGAGGAUUCUGCAUAUAAGGGAUGCCAUACACUAUUUCUCCUUCGCUGUCUGAUGUACUUCACUCAGUAUGACAAUUUCUAGGAACGUCCAUGUUGCUGCAGAUGGUAUUAUUUCAUUCUUUUUGAUGGCUGAGUAAUGUUCCAUUGUAUAUAUAUACCACAUCUCUCUCCAUUUCUCUGUUGAUGGUCAGUGGACAGUUAGAGUGCUUCCGUGUGUUUGGUAUUGUAAACAGUGCUGCAAUGAACAUUAGAGUGUAUGUACACUUUUGAAUCAUGUUUUUCUCUGGGUAUAUCCCCAGGAAUAGGAUUGCAGGGUCAUAUGGUAGCUCUAUUUUUAGUAUGUUAAGGAACCUCCAUACUGUUCUCCAUAGGGGCUGUACUAAUUACAUUCCCACCAACAGUGGAGGAGGGAACAACUAGCAACUACUUUCUUAAUACGAGGAAACUGAGACACAAGAGAUUAAACAACUUCUCCAGGGUCUCACACUCAGAAGGGAUGGAGUCAGGAUUCACACCUGGCAGUCUGGCUCUGGAACCUGCAUUUUAAGCCAUGCAGCUCUAGUGUCUCUGAGGGAAACUACAAAUAACGUAUGGUUUCCUUCUUCUGAAAGUAUAUAUACACAUACCACAUAUUUACAAAUUCAGGACCUUGUCCCAUAUGCUGGUUUGCAGUGUGCUUUGUAAUGUAACUUUACACAUGGUUAUUAUAAGUAAAAUUUUGAUGUUGUUGUUGUUCAGUCACUCAGUCGUGUCCGACUCUUUGCCACCCCAUGCACUGCAGCAUGCCAGGCUUUGCUGUUCUUCACCAUCUCCCCGAGUUUGCUCAAACUCAUGUC